rnacentral:misc_RNA from 1 species
ACGUUAUAAUAAAAAAAACUAGUAAUAAUAAAGCUUUGGGCAACUUUGAGAAAAACUUCUAUCAAUGCUUGAGAUUAGGAAAAUGAAUAAUCCUAAAGAUGCAAGUAACCAAUGAAUCGCCCACCGAUUUCUCAAUAAGCUUCCUGCUGGAAAACCAGAAAAUCGAAGCUAUAGAAUUUGGACGGCUUAAAGACUAUGAGUCCUAUAGUUAAUUAUUAGUAUCACGCUCCACUUGACCACAGAUAAACAUUUAAGGGAAAUAAAGAAUCGAUAGCCUGAAAUUCUUCUUAAAGGUGGAGCUCUCAAAGAAAAGAGUUGAAUAUAUUUACAGGACUGAAACCUAGGAAACCCAUGUACUACUAGAGGAAUGAGAAAAGGAAGAGCUCCAAAAAGA